GGACGAACGCUGGCGGCGUGCUUAACACAUGCAAGUCGAGCGGUAAGGCCCUUUCGGGGGUACACGAGCGGCGAACGGGUGAGUAACACGUGGGUGACCUGCCCUCAGCUCUGGGAUAAGCCUGGGAAACUGGGUCUAAUACUGGAUAUGACUCCACGGUGCAUGUCGUGGGGUGGAAAGCCUUGUGCGGCUGAGGAUGGGGCCCGCGGCCUAUCAGCUUGUUGGUGGGGNGAUGGCCUACCAAGGCGACGACGGGUAGCCGGCCUGAGAGGGCGACCGGCCACACU
rnacentral:rRNA from 1 species